GAUGAACGCUGGCGGCGUGCUUAACACAUGCAAGUCGAACGGAAAGGCCCAAGUUUGCUUGUGUUCUCGAGUGGCGAACGUGUGAGUAACACGUGGGUUAUCUGCCCCGCACUUCGGUAUAAGCCUGGGAAACUGUGUCUUAUCCCGGAUAGGCCAGUGUUUUUGAUGCCAUUGUGGAAAGUUUUUUCGGUGUGGGGUGCGCUCGCGGCCUAUCAGCUUGUUGGGGGGGUUAUGGCCUACCAAGGGGUCGACGGGUAGGCGGGCUGAGAGGGUGUAACGGGACAAUUGGGAGGGGAAAAAGGCCAAACACCCACGGGGGGGAGGAAGGGGGGAAAAUGGACAAAGGGGGCAAGGCCGAGGGAGGGAGGGCGGGGGGGGGGAGAAGGGCCUUGGGGUUUAAACCCCUGUUCGCUAGGGACGAGGCGUGAUGUGACGGUACCUAGAGAAGAAGCACCGGCUAACUACGUG
rnacentral:rRNA from 1 species